rnacentral:rRNA from 1 species
UGGUGGAGUGAUUUGUCUGGUUAAUUCCGAUAACGAACGAGACUCUGUCCUGCUAACUAGUCCCGGCGUCCUUCACGCGCCGGGAAUUUUUCUUUAGAGGGACGUGGCGGCGUCUAGCCGCACGAGAUUGAGCAAUAACA